rnacentral:lncRNA from 1 species
GCCUAAGCGAACUUUAAUCAUUUUAUGGCCAUCAAAAUGUCGUUUCAAAUCUCAGAUUUGAUUUCAUGUACAGCUUCGAUGUUAACAGAGCAUGCAGUGGAGUUUUUUUAUCAUAUGCCCUAACAGGAGGCUUGUCUUUUUGGCAGAAUAAUGCUAUGCGAAUCUUGUUUUAUGCACAUAAAAAGUUACUUUUUUUCACAUGGCUCGGGGGGGUAAGUGUCAUU